GGGGAAGACAGGCAGCUGUAGCGGCAACGGCUUCCAACCACUUGACCACUUUGGCUACUGCCACGCGCUUUGGCAAACAGAAAAUCAUGUUUGGUGAUGGCUAAGAGGUACACACGAUGAGUAGCCAUGAAUCUAUGAGUGGGUAGGGGGGAGGGCUGCCUGCAUGUCAAAGUUUUUCCUACAUAAGUUUCUUCCUCUCUCUCUCUCUCUCUCUCAUGUGUGUGUGUGUGUGGAAAACUUUCUAUAAAUAUGGACAUGACUUUGGCCAACAGUUUUUGACCAACAUCAUCAUCACCAUCACCAUGGUCAUGAUUGCGGUCGUUAAAGCCACCUGCUGUCCGGCAACGACUGCCUGGCUGCCGUUUUGGCCUUUAACCUUUUUUUCGUGCGGGAUGCCGAGGGGGUGCCGGGGCAUCGUCUUGGGCCAAGCGCAGCGCUUUUUUCGGGCUGCUAUCUGCAUACAGUCGAUGCGCAGACUGUUGUUAACAAGCUUGUUAAUAAAUUACCAACAAAAUGGCCAUAAAAUGUGCCAAGCAUAAAUCAUGGCCUCCGCAAUCUGUUCCGUUACCCCGCAGUCCCCUCCUGCGCAUGCAUAAAUAAAUAAUAGCACAAAUGUGGCUACAGCAGCGGCAGCAGCGGCUGAUAUGCGACAGUAACAGCCAAACGAAAUUAGCGACCACAGAUACAGAUACUCUCGGAUACAUAUUGAAGAGCAACGAAAAAAAACACACACAAAUAUCUGAAAGAUUAUGGAAAAACUAAAUAAAUUCAAAUGAAUCAAAAAGGGGGCCGGAGGAGGCACUCCAAAAGCCACAAAACAGCAAACGCCAGAAGCAGCAGUCAGGCAGUCAGGCAGCCAGCAGUCGCCGCUGCAUAAAUCAACUCAAUUAGCGGGGUAUUAUAUAAAGCUGAUCCACAGAUUCACCACAGAGCCAGCAAAUGUUAAUGGGAAAGAAUGGAAGUUGGGUGGCGACUAUGGGAAGAGAGCUGUUGAAGUGGGUACAAAGGUCAAAGCAGGUAAAAGAACUAUAAAUAGAACGAAGAUCUUAAAGAACUAUAAAUAACUCGUAUAACAGCACCCAUAAAACAGAAUUGACCCAGAAUUGGCAUGUGGUUUAGUUUUUAGUUAAAGAAAGAGCACAAAAUGAAUCCCAAAACAAUUGCCAAUGCUGCAAAAGUCAAAAUAAAACUAAAUCAAGGUUCUAAGAAAGGUUUAAAGAGCUUACUGCCAGCUGCACUUUCUAGCAAAAUGUUUCCACGAACCCUAAACGGGCAAAGAACAAGUUAACUCUCGCUCGCUGCAUUUCCAGGCAUAUGUGGCAUGUACCUAAAUAUAUAUAUCCCAGACAUAACGAUCGCUCUGCCCCCUCUCCUGCUGCACAGCCAGCUGUUGAACGAUCAGUGAGGAGAGAGCGGGCCUGGCCAGGCCAUGCCAUUCAGCCCCCAGCAGGCAUCACAUCAUUAUGGUGGCUUGGUCUUGGUCUUGGGCUUUAGCUUUUGGCUCGAUUUUAUGGCAGCGGCUCAUUUCGUGUCAUAAAAAAGCAUUUUCAACACAUUUUUUAACGACAAGUGCUCCAGUGCCCAGACAACGGGCAACAAAUAAUGGAGAGGGGGAGAAUGUGGCCAACAUUUGCAGCUUUUGUGGCCCAAAGGCGUUGGCGUUUGCCCUGGCAACUGCAGCCAUAAAACCAGAAGAAAGAAAAGAGCAACAUAAUGAACGAAUUAUAAUAAUGAUAUGGGGUUGAUAUGUCACAAAAAAAAAAUAUAAAGAAAAAACUGAUCACAAUUCAAAUGUCACAGAGUCAACGAUCAACGAUGUAUGUCUAUAUGUACCCGUACAUCUGAUUUGGCUAGUUUUGGUUGUGCUUAAAUUAGUGAAAAUUACUUUUGAAUUUAUAAUGCCGCGUUGUGAGGCAACAGGCGAACACACCAAACACACAAAACAGACGCCAUGUCAUGUCAGAUCAUUAAGAAAAUAUGGUCAAAAAUGUUUCAAUUAAAAGCGAACAAAAAAAGCGAGAUAAAAAAAAUAGAAACAGCAGCAAACAGCAGCAAACCUCAAACUGAAAGGAAACUCAAAAAUUGUAGGCGGACAAGUUUCGUUUUUCGUUUUGGCCAUAAAUUGUGUGUAGGCCACUUUACUGUCAAGUCAUUAACGGCAAUAGCCACAGCCGCAAGGCAGCAAUAGCAACAAUACCGCAUGUGAAUCAUUAGCAACAAAAGUCUCAAGAGAAACACUCUCUGCGGAUCUCAACAACUUGUUGUACCUAUGGGUUGUUCUUUUUUUUCUUGUCAUUUUGUAUAGCUUUAAAUCGGAUGGAUGCGAGUAACAUUAUUCCAUUCUGCCAUUUUGGCAUAUUUUAAUGGCUUGUCUUAAAUCAUUUGCAUUGCAUAAAAAAUAUAACUUAU
rnacentral:lncRNA from 1 species